CUCGAAAUGUCUGGUUAGUGCUAGUUUUUUAAGCUCACAGCAGUUCUAGAAUUAAAAAAAAAAAUCUACAGCCUAUCAUUAUCUAAAACAAAAUACAAAGAUAUUUCUGAUGCAGCUAGCUUCAGCCUGGUUUCCUGAUGUGGCAAGGGAAAAAAAAAAAAGCAUCACUUUAAAUGCACUCAAAUUUCUGAUGAAAAUUUGCAAAACCUCAAACCCAUUUCUGUUUUGCAGGACCGAAUAGGGCUUUUGACUACUGCUCUACUUAGUGUAAUUAUCAGUCUAGUGAAGGAGGAAAUUAGUGUGAGGCAGUUAAAGGAUGUCUGGAAUGUGAAUGAGGAUACUAUGUUUAUUUAAAAAAAAAAAUAAAUAAAUAAAUAAAUAAAGGUCAGCAACCUGGAAAUGGAAAUGGAAACCUUCUCACACAUGGUGUUAUUUUGGCUUGAACUGAACUGAACCGGGACUUCAGACCUUUUAAGAGUAGACAUUUAUUUCAGAUAAAGGAAGUCAGGGUUCAUCUGAUCUGACUGUAUGACUCUGUAGUUAUGUUCAGUUGAUGUGAAUUUGCUUUUCACGCCCUCUUUUCUGCUGUCUUUGAGCAUGUGUGAACAGGCUUUCUGAACACAAACUCCUACACACGCCCCAAUUCUUUUUCUCACACCUCACCAUCCCAAACGUCCCAUGGAAAAUCAGACUUAAUAUUCAGCUCAGAUGCAUUUUUAGCUCUUUUUUUUUCCUUUCCCUCCCUGUUGCCAAAACCAGAACCGCCCAAAACAGUGUGCAGCUGCUUGUGUUUCCUCUAAACACUCAUUUAGCUACAUAGGCAACACGUACCACUAUUAAAGACUAGUUGUUGGCACUUUUCCCAGUAACUAGCGUCUUUUUUUUAAUCUACUUCAAGUAUUUUUACUUGAAGGAGAAGUAGUAGUCCUUCCAUGGCGUGUUGUUUAGAGAGUUGUCGAGGCGUUAACCGCGUUAUGGGCUAAACUCCAUUCACACAAGCAGGAAGAUUUGAAUCUGCGGCGAGUCUGACGCUCUGGAGAAGUGGGCGUGGCCAGCCGCGCCGGACAGACUCAACGCAGGCUCCACUCCAUGAAUGAGUCAAGUCCACGACGAGCCGAAGGGGGAAAGAAACAAAUUCAAACUAAAAGAAAAGAGGAAGAGGCUGCUCGAUUACUGGCGCAGGAACAGUUUUGUGCAAAGCUCAUACGUAAGUCUCAAGUUAGUCAUUGUAACCGAUGGUCACAAUCCGAGGGCUCAGUACUCCACUAGAAUAAUCGUCUUCAACUGUCCAGUUUGGGUGAGCCUGUGCCCAUGGAAAGCCUCAGAUUCCUGUUCUUGGCUCGGAGUGGAACCUUAUGUGGUCUUCUGCUUUUGUAGCCCAUCCACCUCAAGGUCACCAGAGAAAGACCCAAUCAGCCACAGCUGCCUAACAAAUCUGAGGACCAGGUCAUCUCAGGUAUCCAUGUUUUGGAUCCCUAUGCUGCAUCUAUUUUUUGAUGUCUAUCUAUACCUAUAUCUAUAGCUAUCUAUGUCUAAAUGUAUGCAUAAAAGUGUGUAUUUGAGCAACAGAUAAUCAAGAAGGUGAAUAUAAUGAGUGGAUGUGAAACACUGAUAACCCUGAUACCACAUAACUGAAGUUGAGUAAUGUAAGAAGCUAAUUGGUUGCAAUAAAUAUUACCCUGAAAAAAAA